AGUGAACGCUGGCGGUAGGCCUAACACAUGCAAGUCGAACGGCAGCACAGUAAGAGCUUGCUCUUACGGGUGGCGAGUGGCGGACGGGUGAGGAAUACAUCGGAAUCUACUUUUUCGUGGGGGAUAACGUAGGGAAACUUACGCUAAUACCGCAUACGACCUACGGGUGAAAGCAGGGGAUCUUCGGACCUUGCGCGAUUGAAUGAGCCGAUGUCGGAUUAGCUAGUUGGCGGGGUAAAGGCCCACCAAGGCGACGAUCCGUAGCUGGUCUGAGAGGAUGAUCCGCCAACAUGGAAAUGAGACACGGUCCCGACUCCUACGGGAGGCCGCAGUGGGGAAUAUUGGGCAAUGGGGGCAAGCCUGAUCCAGGCCUACCGGGUGGGUGAAGAAGGCCUUUGGGUUGUAAAACCCCUUUGUUGGGAAAGAAAAGCAGCAGGUUAAUACCCCGCUGUUCUGACGGUACCCAAAGAAUAAGCACCGGCUAACUUCGUG
rnacentral:rRNA from 1 species